rnacentral:rRNA from 1 species
CAGCAGUGGGGAAUAUUGCACAAUGGGGGGAAACCCUGAUGCAGCCAUGCCGCGUGUGUGAAGAAGGCCUUCGGGUUGUAAAGCACUUUUCAGUAGGGAGGAAGGUAGUGUAGUUAACACCUGCAUUAUUUGACGUUUACCUACAGAAGAAGCACCGGCUAACUCCGUGCCAGCAGCCGCGGUAAUACGGAGGGUGCGAGCGUUAAUCGGAAUUACUGGGCGUAAAGCGCAUGCAGGCGGCCUGUUAAGUCAGAUGUGAAAGCCCGGGGCUUAACCUCGGAAUUGCAUUUGAAACUGGCAGGCUAGAGUCUUGUAGAGGGGGGUAGAAUUUCAGGUGUAGCGGUGAAAUGCGUAGAGAUCUGAAGGAAUACCAGUGGCGAAGGCGGCCCCCUGGACAAAGACUGACGCUCAGAUGCGAAAGCGUGGGGAGCAAACAGGAUUAGAUACCCUGGUAG